rnacentral:lncRNA from 1 species
GGUGGCAAAGCCUAGGAAAGAGCUAUGGCUGUUGAGCUUCUUCGAUCGCCGUGCCCACAGAGGACCGAGAUGGAGAUUUCUUGCGGAGGCGGGCAACAGUUGCAGCAUCCUGCUCUUAUCCGGCUGCUGUCUGUGGGCCAAGCUGGUACCCAGCCAUGGAGGCUGCUGUGUUCUCCCCAGAGGUGCGUCUGCCCUACCUCACCAACCUCUACUUCUAGGUCGCCUCGCCGCACGGAGCUAUCGAGCACAGCGUUCAUCAUCCGAAUGGUCUUAUCGAUCGGUGACUGACAUGGUACUUUCAUGUGCUCGAGCGCUGUUGAAGCUCCCGAGUUGACCCAGCCAUGGCGGAGAUCCCCCGUUCGUUCAUCCAUCCAUUCGCUCGCUCCUCACCGGGCCUUCCCGGCGGGUAGGUCCUGCUCAUCCCUUUCAGAUGGACCAGGCAGCCGAAAGCAGCGCCUGGUUUCUUUAACAUGGCGGCCUUCAAGGGGAUCACAUCGAGAGGACUGGGGGGAUCUUGGUUGGGAGCCGGAGCAUUACAUCACGAUCGGAGAAGAUCCAUCUAAUCCCGGCUUCUUCAGCCCAACCCUAACCCUAACCCUAACCCUAACCCUAAACCUAAUCCCCACCGGCCUAAUUUAGCCCAUCCGGGCACCCGUC